CCCUUUGUAGUGUAAUAGAUCAGCACGGCAGACCGGGUAUCUCUGUAAGUGUGGGUUCGAGUCCUGCCUGAGGAU
rnacentral:tRNA from 1 species